rnacentral:misc_RNA from 1 species
CCUUCGCCUAGGUCGUGUCACUCC